AUACGGAGGGUGCAAGCGUUAAUCGGAAUUACUGGGCGUAAAGCGCGCGCAGGCGGGCUGAUAAGUUGGAUGUGAAAGCCUACGGCUCAACUGUAGAACUGCAUCCAAAACUGUCAGUCUAGAGUCUGGGAGGGGAAGAUGGAAUUAGUUGUGUAGGGGUAAAAUCCGUAGAGAUAACUAGGAAUACCAAAAGCGAAGGCGAUCUUCUGGAACAGUACUGACGCUGAGGCGCGAAAGCGUGGGGAGCAAACAGGAUUAGAAACCCUAGUAGUCC
rnacentral:rRNA from 1 species